rnacentral:rRNA from 1 species
UUGAUCAUGGCUCAGGAUGAACGCUAGCUACAGGCUUAUCACAUGCAAGUCGAGGGGAAACGACAUCGAAAGCUUGCUUUUGGUGGGCGUCGACCGGCGCACGGGUGAGUAACGCGUAUCCAACCUGCCCACCACUUGGGGAUAACCUUGCGAAAGUAAGACUAAUACCCAAUGACGUCUCUAGAAGACAUCUGAAAGGGAUUAAAGAUUUAUCGGUGAUGGAUGGGGAUGCGUCUGAUUAGCUUGUUGGCGGGGUAACGGCCCACCAAGGCUACGAUCAGUAGGGGUUCUGAGAGGAAGGUCCCCCACAUUGGAACUGAGACACGGUCCAAACUCCUACGGGAGGCAGCAGUGAGGAAUAUUGGUCAAUGGACGAGAGUCUGAACCAGCCAAGUAGCGUGCAGGAUGACGGCCCUAUGGGUUGUAAACUGCUUUUAUAAGGGAAUAAAGUGAGUCUCGUGAGGCUUUUUGCAUGUACCUUAUGAAUAAGGACCGGCUAAUUCCGUGCCAGCAGCCGCGGUAAUACGGAAGGUCCGGGCGUUAUCCGGAUUUAUUGGGUUUAAAGGGAGCGUAGGCCGGAGAUUAAGCGUGUUGUGAAAUGUAGAUGCUCAACAUCUGCACUGCAGCGCGAACUGGUUUCCUUGAGUACGCACAAAGUGGGCGGAAUUCGUGGUGUAGCGGUGAAAUGCUUAGAUAUCACGAAGAACUCCGAUUGCGAAGGCAGCUCACUGGAGCGCAACUGACGCUGAAGCUCGAAAGUGCGGGUAUCGAACAGGAUUAGAUACCCUGGUAGUCCGCACGGUAAACGAUGGAUGCCCGCUGUUGGUCUGAAUAGGUCAGCGGCCAAGCGAAAGCAUUAAGCAUCCCACCUGGGGAGUACGCCGGCAACGGU